GCAAGUCGAACGCGAAAGGGUUUCGGCCUGAGUAGAGUGGCGGACGGGUGAGUAACGCGUGGGAAUCUGCCUUACAGUGGGGGACAACCCGGGGAAACCCGGGCUAAUACCGCAUACGCCCUACGGGGGAAAGGGGGCCUUUGGCUCUUGCUGUUAGAUGAGCCCGCGUCCGAUUAGCUAGUUGGCAGGGUAAAGGCCUACCAAGGCGACGAUCGGUAGCUGGUCUGAGAGGAUGAUC
rnacentral:rRNA from 1 species